UUCUCCUCCUUUUGUCCAUGUUUAGAUAUAGAUGUCUCCUCAUUCUUUUGUCCAAAAGUUGGACAAAAUUUUUACAUCUCUAUUGUAUAGAUUUGGUUUUUGGAUUUUAGGAAGAAAAAAGAAGAAAGGUUCUUCUCAUGAUCUCUAGCGUAGAGAUCAAGAUCUUCCUAUAUCUUCUUAUUUUCUAAGAGUGUCUUAAGAGAAAAGA
rnacentral:lncRNA from 1 species